GUGUCAGCAGCCGCGGUAAUACCGGCAGCCCGAGUGAUGGCCGAUCUUAUUGGGCCUAAAGCGUCCGUAGCUGGCCGCGCAAGUCUAUCGGAAAAUCCACCCGCUCAACGGGUGGGCGUCCGGUAGAAACUGCGUGGCUUGGGACCGGAAGGCGCGACGGGUACGUCCGGGGUAGGAGUGAAAUCCCGUAAUCCUGGACGGACCGCCGAUGGCGAAAGCACGUCGCGAGGACGGAUCCGACAGUGAGGGACGAAAGCCAGGGUCUCGAACCGGAUUA
rnacentral:rRNA from 1 species